UGGGGAAUUUUGGACAAUGGGCGAAAGCCUGAUCCAGCAAUGCCGCGUGUGUGAAGAAGGCCUUCGGGUUGUAAAGCACUUUUGUCCGGAAAGAAAUCCUUGGCUCUAAUACAGUCGGGGGAUGACGGUACCGGAAGAAUAAGCACCGGCUAACUACGUGCCAGCAGCCGCGGUAAUACGUAGGGUGCAAGCGUUAAUCGGAAUUACUGGGCGUAAAGCGUGCGCAGGCGGUUUGCUAAGACCGAUGUGAAAUCCCCGGGCUCAACCUGGGAACUGCAUUGGUGACUGGCAGGCUAGAGUAUGGCAGAGGGGGGUAGAAUUCCACGUGUAGCAGUGAAAUGCGUAGAGAUGUGGAGGAAUACCGAUGGCGAAGGCAGCCCCCUGGGCCAAUACUGACGCUCAUGCACGAAAGCGUGGGGAGCAAAACAGGAUUAGAUACCCUGGGUAGUCCACGCCCUAAAACGAUGUCAACUAGUUGUUGGGGACUUCAUUUCCUUAGUAACGUAGCUAACGCGUGAAGUUGACCGCCUGGGGAGUACGGUCGCAAGAUUAAAACUCAAUG
rnacentral:rRNA from 1 species